GACGAACGCUGGCGGCGUGCCUAAUACAUGCAAGUCGAGCGAUGAAAAGUGGUGCUUGCACCAAUGUGGAGAGCAGCGAACGGGUGAGUAACGCGUGGGGAAUCUACCUAUGAGCGGGGGACAACAUUUGGAAACGGGUGCUAAUACCGCAUAACAACUUUAAACAUAAGGUUUAAUAGUGAAAGAUGGAAUUGCAUUACUCAAAGGUGAUCUCGGGUUGUAUUAGGUAGGUGGGUAGGUAAAGGCUCACCAAGGCGAUGAUACAUAGCCGACCUGGGAGGGUGAUUCGCCCACAUGGGAAUGGGACCCCGCCCAAGAUCCUUCGGGAGGCAGCCGUAGGGAAUCUUCCGCCAUGGACGAAAGUCUGGACGAGCAACGCCGCCUGAGUGAAUAAGGUUUUCGGGUCGUAAAAAUCUGUUGGUAGAGAAGAACGUUAGUGGGAGUGGAAAGCUCACGAAGUGACGGUAACUAACCAGAAAGCGACGGCUAACUACGUG
rnacentral:rRNA from 1 species